UUUUAGAUGCCGUCUAUUUACUUCAUAGAAAAAUAGCUUAUGUGUACUACUGGUCGUGUAUUAGUAUAGGAUAAGGUCUUUAAUUUUAAAAUAAAAAAUUUUUUAUAAAAUAGGGGUUGUAUCCAAUUAUAGAGUAAAAUUUUUGGGUAGUUUAAAAAACCGAAAAUAAAUGGCAGUAAAAUAUUCAAGUUAAGGAAUUUUGAAAAAUAAUUUGAUAGUCCUCAAUUUUAUUUACUUUAAAAAAUUUUUUGUGCGGCUGUUUAAUAACCAUUUAAAAAUAUUAGUUUAAGUCAGGUUUUGCGUUAUAAAUAUUUAAAGGAAUUUUUGAAAUGUAAUUAAAAUUUUAUAUUUUAUAUAAAAAGAAUAAUACUUAAUAGUAAUAAAUAAUCAAAUAAAUUAGUCUUAUUUUAGGCUCAUAUCGUCCGUCACUCUCAGUCU
rnacentral:rRNA from 1 species